AUGUCCCUGGCAGCCUCGGCGGGCCGGGGCCCCGGGGCCGUGUGGUCCCCGACGCACGUGCAGGUGACGGUAUUGCAGGCGCGGGGGUUGAGGGCCAAGGGUCCCGGGGGCACGAGCGACGCGUACGCGGUGAUCCAGGUGGGCAAGGAGAAGUACGCCACCUCUGUGUCGGAGCGCAGCCUGGGCGCGCCCGUGUGGCGCGAAGAGGCCACCUUCGAGCUGCCGCCGCUGCUGUCGGCUGAGGCCGCGCCCGCCGCCGCCGCCACCCUGCAGCUCACCGUGCUGCACCGCGCGCUGCUCGGCCUCGACAAGUUCCUGGGCCGCGCCGAGGUGGACCUGCGGGGGCUGCACCAGGACCAGGGCCGCCGGAGGACCCAGUGGUACACCUUGAAAUCCAAACCGGGGAAGAAGGAUAAAGAGCGAGGAGAAAUUGAGGUUGACAUCCAGUUUAUGAGAAACAACAUGACUGCGAGCAUGUUUGACCUUUCCAUGAAAGACAAGUCUCGGAACCCGUUUGGGAAACUGAAGGACAAGAUCAAGGGCAAGAAUAAGGAGAGCGCGUCUGAUACGGUGUCAGCCAUCGUCCCCCACGUGACGCCCUUGGCUGACAGUGAUGACGAGUCUCCUUCCAAAGACAAGAAGAAGAAGUCAAAGAUCAAGACCUUGUUUUCCAAGUCCAACCUGCAGAGAACACCGCUUUCCCAGUCCAUGUCCGUCCUGCCGACCUCAAAGUCAGACAAAGUGAUGCUUCGUCCUGGAGACUUCGAGUCCCGGUGGGAGGACGAUGACGAGGACAAGCCCUCCUCUGCCUCGGAUGUCUUGUCUCACAAGAGGACAGCAAGCGCGGAUCCUAAGCAGCUGAACCAGGUCAGCUUCAGUCUCCCCAAGAAGGAAGGCCUCUCCUUCCUGGGCGGCCUCCGGUCUAAGAACGAUGUCCUCUCCCGCUCGAACGUCUGUAUCAAUGGGAACCACGUCUACGUGGAGCCGCCCGAGGCCAAGACGGAGACCAAGGACAACUCCCCGUCCCCCUCCCCAUCCCCUCAAGACCUCAGGAAGAAGCGGUGGUUCUCAUCUAUGGAAAACCUGGCCUCUCGGCCUUGGAGGGAGCCUGGGGAAGUAGGCGCGGUGCCUUCUGAGUCUUCCACAAAGGACGCCCUCAAGUCUAUGUCCCUGCCGUCCUACCAGCCACAGGUCAGCAGGGACCUUGGGGAGAAUGCGGCCCCAGCAACCUUGGAGGCUGCAAAGGAAACCAAAGAGAGCAAGAAACAGGAGAACAAGAAGCCGGCUCUGCUCUUCCUGGUGCCGGGAAGGAAGGACACGGCCAAGGGCAGCGAGGGCGAAAGCCCCCCUGCUGCUGCCUCUGGGAAGGAGAGGGAGGGAGUGCCCGCUGCGCUCAGGGCCGGGGAGCACCAGCCGGGGCCUGCCGAUGACCUUGUGAAGAGAUCGGACAAAGAGGCUGUGCCUGUUGCCUCUGGACUAGGCCAAGCGCCGAACCCCUUUGAAGACGAGCAGCUCCCAGAACCAGAAGCUGACCCAGAGCCCAAGGCUGCACCUGUCCCACCUGUUUUCUCGCCCAGGGCUCCCCAGACCAGAGCUGUGAAACCCCGGCCAGAAGUGUCUCCAGAGGCUCGGCCCGCACCCAGGCCCCCUCCUUCCACUAACUCUGGCCUCUUUCUUUCCACUCUUGCUUCCGGCUCUGGGCAGAUACCUGUCUCUUCUAAACCGGGGCUUGACUCAGAGACACCGUCUUCUGAGUCCCCUUCGGGCUCCUCCUCUGUCUCCUCUCCCAUAGCGGCCCCCAUCUCCACAUCCACCCCAAUUAAGAACUGGCCCUCUGCAGACCCGGGCCAAGCUGGCUCCGAAGAACCGCCUUCAUUCCUGGAACUAGAGCUGGAAAAGGAGACUCAGACCCGAGUUCCAAAUAUUGAUCCCCACGCUGUGGGCUCACUUUCCAAGCAGACACCCGUUCCGGUGACUGGAGAGAGGGAAGACUAUUCACCAGGGAAGACCAGUUCUAACGACCUGGCACAGUCUCUCCGUACACAGCCUGAAGAGGGACAAGAAGGAGGGCUUCUGGGGUCUCCCUGGCAAGAACAACAAGGUGAUAUCGCUUCAUCGGACGAGGCCCGAGAAGUAGUAUCUGCUCUUGCGCCCGGGAGAGGCAGGAGGGGCAGCCCCGCUGGAAAGCCCCCAAGCAGGGAGGACCCAGACUCUGCGAAGGACGCAGGUGGCGGUGGCAGGCUGAGUCCUGCAGUUAAAGAAGCGGCGCCCCUCCUCCACACGGGGGAGUCGGCCCCCACACCCGACUCCUCAACAACACAGGGACAUGAAGAGAUGGGUCCGGAUGCCCGUGACAGCGGAAAGGAUACCAUGAAGCAGGCGCUGUUUUCCAAGCAGCUCUCUGCGGAAGAGGCCGGGGAGGAGGCCCCCAGGCUGGUCCAUGGGGACAAAGGGGCCCCACAGGAGCCAACGGCACCAGGGGCAGCUCCCAGAAACGCGAUGGACAUGGGAGACUUCCAGGAGGGGGCGGCCGCGACUGGACCCUCGGCCCUGGCGACUCGUGCUCCCCGCCCCUCCUCCAAGGGGAGCUUCUCAGGGGGUCCCCAGCGGGCGACCGGCUCAGGGAGGGCUGGUCCCCUCUUCAGGAGUCAGGGAGACGACACCCGGAUGGCACGGAACCAGAGCAAAGCCAGUGACCACGAAGGUCUGCUGUCCGACCCCCUGCGGGGCCUCCAGGCCCCCUGCGAGGCCAAGCCCCCAGGCGUGGCCCAUCUGGACCUGACCCUGCCCUCCAUCCCCGAGGUCGAGUCGGAGGACGAGAGAGGCGAUCAGCCUGAAGACGGCGGAGGGGCGGCCCUGGUGUCAGGCCAGGGAGAAGGGGCUCCAUCCUCCAGCAGGGGGCCCGUCCAGCCUGAGGGGGAGAGGGCGCCCAGGGAGGAGGCUGGCGGGUCAGCAGCAGGAAGCCUGCAUGACCCCACGCUGGGAGCACCCAGAGCGCCCGCCCCGGCUUCUGCAGAACAGACCCCAGGCCCCGGCGGCGAUGGUGGGAAGGCAGGACCAGCCGGAGAUGGGAGCCUGCCUCGGCCUCCAGCCGCUGCCCUGGGGUCCCCUGUGUCCAGCUCCCCCACCCUCCCCCCACUUCCUGCCACACGCUCCUUUCCCCCCUCUGCACACUCUGACACCCCCCACACCAAUACAGCAGAAUCUCAAAAAAAAGCAACAGCCGAGGGCUCCGCGGGUAACGUGGAAAAUCCCGGCAAGAGGAAGCCGCUUCUUCAGGCCCGGGUCUCCCCCUCAGAGACACAGCCGAGCGCUGGAAGCAGGCCGGCCAAGCACAGACUUCAUCCCGUGAAGCCGAUGAACACCACAGCCCCCAGGGUCUCUAACUCCACCUCGGGAACUGCCGCGAUCGUGAGUGAGAACUUGAUCAACGAAGCCGGGAUGAAGAAAUACAAGCCCUCGGACCCUGCAUUUGCCUACGUGCAGCUGACCCACGACGAGCUCAUUCAGCUGGUCCUCAAACAGAAGGAAACGAUCAGCAAGAAGGAAUGUCAGGUGCGCCAACUGGAAGACUACAUCGACAACCUGCUGGUCAGGGUCAUGGAGGAGACCCCGAACAUCCUCCGGGUUCCCUCUCAGGUCGGCAAAAAAGCAGGAAAGAUGUGA
rnacentral:lncRNA from 1 species